UUGAAAGAGCGAAAUAAUACACCAAAGGAGCUGUUCUCGUCUUAUUUUAAUAAAUGAAAGCCUUGUUCAAAAAGUUACAUAAUGACUUCCCUUACAGACAAUAUUUUUUUUCAUAGAUGUGUGCUACCGAUAAAUCACAUAGAGCCCAGAGAGUUGAACAAUCAUUUACACAUUCUAAAUCCUUUGUUCACAAACAAAACUGAUAUUCACACAUUUACACCACAAACAGUGCUACCCGCUGUGAAGCAUACAUUGCGUAACUGUGAAGGUCCUGAAUAACAUGUAUGCAGCAAUCUAGCACGUUAUAUGUGUUGUGCAAUUAUUGGC